rnacentral:rRNA from 1 species
AUUGAACGCUGGCGGCAGGCUUAACACAUGCAAGUCGAGCGAGCGGCGGACGGGUGAGUAAUGUCUGGGAAACUGCCUGAUGGAGGGGGAUAACUACUGGAAACGGUAGCUAAUACCGCAUAACAUCAGAUGUGCCCAGAUGGGAUUAGCUAGUAGGUGGGGUAAUGGCUCAUCUAGGCGACGAUCCCUAGCUGGUCUGAGAGGAUGACCCGCCACACUGAAACGGAGACACGGUCCAGACUCCUACGGGAGGCAGCAGUGGGGAAUAUUGGAAAAUGGGGGCAACCCGGAUCCAGCCAGGCCGGUUGAGUUAUGAAGGCCCUAGGGUUGUAAAGCUCUUUUGUGCGAGAAGCGGUACCGAAAGAAUAAGCCCCGGCUAACUACGUGCCAGCAGCCGCGGUAAUUC